GGGGCUGUAGCUCGGUGGUAGACCACUUGCCUAGCAUGCAUGAGGCACUGGGUUCAAUCCUCAGCACCACA
rnacentral:tRNA from 1 species